AGAAAAAGACAGAAUAUAUAUAGACACUCUAACACUUACGCCGUGUUCAUUUCGCUGUGUUCGUUUCAACUAAAUUUACUGUUUACAGAGAUUUGUAAAACGAGGAAUUAUGUAACCGUCAUUUUAAUUUUCAGCGCACGGUGGUACGGGGCGGCGGUGAUAGCGACGAUCAAGUGGUACAGGCAGCGGUGAUAACGACGACCGAGUGAUAGAAGGGGAGAAUCGUGCACCAGAAAAAAUUUUCAUGUGAGGGAAUGGAGGGAGCUUCAUCCUCAUCUUCAUUUGUGAAUUAUCCUUCCACUGCUGAAGAUCAUCACUUGGUCGACGAUUUCUACUUUUCAGCACUUUACGAUGAUGAAGAAAUAUUUCCAAUUUCUGAUGAGAAAUAUGCUGAAGAGCUGCAACUACAAGAAGCACUCUAUUCCUCCACGAUGUCAAGUGGUAUGGUUGAAAAGAAAGCUGUUCAAGUGGAUGUAAAUGAUGUCGGUGACUUAUCUUUGACUGUUCAAGUGGAUGUAAAUUAUGUCGGUGACUUAUCUUUGAGAAACCUCAAGAGGAAACAUAAAGAGAUCGGUGAAGCUUCCCUUGCACACUGUGGUAUUUGCAUGGAUGCCAAGCCUGGGAAAGAAAUGUUCAGGAACCGAAACUGUUCUCACCUUUAUUGUGAUUAUUGCAUUGGAGGACAUGUUGCUGCGAAAAUUCAGGAAAAUAUAUCAAUGGUGAAAUGUCCUGAGCCAAAAUGUAAAGCGGUUAUAGAGCCAGACAACUGUCGUUCAAUUAUCCCUAAAGAAGUGUUUGAUAGAUGGGAAAAUUCUCUUUGUGAGAAUGUGGUGCUUGGAUCACAAAAGUUUUACUGUCCCUUUAAGGAUUGUUCAGCUAUGAUGAUAUGUGAAGCAGGGGAAGUUGUGACUUCAUCGGAGUGUCCACAUUGCAAUAGACUGUUUUGUGCACAGUGCAAGGUUUCGUGGCAUGCAGGAAUAAACUGUGAGGAGUUUCAGAUGUCGAAAAGAGAGAAAGGAGAGAACGGAGACUCAUUGGUGAUUGAACUUGCAAAGACUAAACGUUGGAGAAGAUGUUCAAAAUGCAAAAUUUACGUAGAAAGAAUUGAUGGAUGUACACGUAUUUCAUGCAGAGUGUUGAAGGAUGUUUGUUGAGUGUUGAAGGAUGUUUGUUGAUCGAUAUGUUAGAAAAAUGAUGUGGCCAUGAAUUUUGCUAUGCUUGUGGAUUGUCUUGGAGUGGUACACAUUAUUCAUGUGUAGGUCGUUAGGUUGAAAGAAUCCCCCCAGAUUGGAAUCUAUUGUUGAAUGUGGCCAUGAAUUUUGCUAUGUUUGUGGAUUGUCUUGGAGUGGUACACAUUAUUCAUGAGUAAGUUUUGGUGGAGACCAAGUUGAAAGAAUACCCCCAAACAUUGGAAUUUAUGGUUCACCGAGUACAUUUGAGAUUUUGGAUGGCCAUGUUGUUUUGUUUUGGGCAUGUUUAACUUUUGGAUUAUUAGAUUUAUCUUUUCAAUCUAGAAUUUCUUUAGAAUUAAUACUUUUAUUUUCCAAAACAUCUUUAUUAUUUUUAAUCAAAAUAGGUAUUUUUGUGAAA